rnacentral:rRNA from 1 species
AUGCUGCUUCCUGUUGGUUCUAUUCAGGAGAUUGACAAGCGGUGCCGUGCUUUCUUUUGGGCUGGCGAUGACCACGUGAAUGGGGGUCAAUGCAAAGCUGCUUGGGCAAACGUCUGUGCCCCCACUAAGAAGGGCGGCCUGGGCUUUAGAUGCCUUCGUACUCAUAAUAUUUGCCUGCUUCUAAAAUCCCUCAGUAAAAUACACCAUCCCGGUCUUGGCUCUUGGGGCUCUUGGCUUGCCUCCACGUAUGGUUGGGAAGGCGGGCACUACAUUGGUGACACUCAUAGACUACACACAAUUGUUUGGAAGGACCUCCUGUCUGGUCUCCCUUUCUUCCGCUCUAUUACCCACGUCAAGAUCGGUAACGGCGUCUCAACCGCGUUUUGGUUGGAUCUAUGGAUCGGCAACGAUACCUUGGCUGCUCGCUUCCCAAGUCUUUUCUCCCAUGUUACAAAACCUAAUGUAUCUGUUGCGUUUGUUCUUUCGGCGGAGGAUCUUCGUCUUUCGUUACAACCACGUCUGACCAUUGCUGCUACUAACGAGCUUCUUUGCCUGCGUACUGUUUUAGCCACAGUUAACUUGAUGCCGCAGGUACCGGAUAACCGUUUAUGCAGGAUCAACGAUAAGCCUCUUUCUGUUGCUUCUGCGUAUGGAGCUGCUUUCUCAUCUCGGCCGGAUGAUUCUCUGAAUUCAUCUGGAGGAAUAACUAUGUGA